GUCUGAAUGACAUUAUCAUCAAUCAAAUCCCUCAAAUGAAAAGUGACCUCGCCAUUAUUGCUCAAAAGACUGGAAGGACUCCUGUGGAGGAUCUUGAUUCCUCCUCGACUUUUGGAGAAGUGCAACCGGUGAGUAACCCCCUUACAUUUUGAUUUAUUUAUUUAGUUUACUUGUUACUCAAACAGAUCUAUAUGGAUUUUUAUGAUGUUUGACUGAUUACUUUUGCAUGUAACUUUAAUUUAUUGAAAUGUUUAAUGUUUUCCAAGCUCC